ensembl:misc_RNA Metazoa_SRP Metazoan signal recognition particle RNA
GCCAGGUGUGGUGGUGCACGCCUGUAAUCCCAGUUACUCAGGAGGCUGAGGCAGGAGAAUCACUUGAACUCAGGAGGUGGAGGUUGCAGUGAGCCAAGAUCAUGCCACUGCACUCCAGCCUGGGUGACAGAGUGAGACUUUGUCUCAA